AACGAACGCUGGCGGCAUGCCUAACACAUGCAAGUCGAACGAGACCUUCGGGUCUAGUGGCGCACGGGUGCGUAACGCGUGAGAACCUGCCCUUAGGUUCGGAAUAACUCCCCGAAAGGGGUGCUAAUACCGGAUAAUGUCUUCGGACCAAAGAUUUAUCGCCUUUGGAUGGGCCCGCGUUGGAUUAGCUAGUUGGUAGGGUAAAAGCCUACCAAGGCGACGAUCCAUAGCUGGUCUGAGAGGAUGAUCAGCCACACUGGGACUGAGACACGGCCCAGACUCCUACGGGAGGCAGCAGUGGGGAAUAUUGGACAAUGGGCGAAAGCCUGAUCCAGCAAUGCCGCGUGAGUGAUGAAGGCCUUAGGGUUGUAAAGCUCUUUUACCCGGGAUGAUAAUGACAGUACCGGGAGAAUAAGCUCCGGCUAACUCCGU
rnacentral:rRNA from 1 species